rnacentral:lncRNA from 1 species
AGAUCCCUUUGAUUUGCAGAAUCUCACGAGGUUCUGGUUUGAAAGAAGUAGUUGCAGGAAAGGCUAUUGAAGACGGAGUUGGCUUGCACUGUGUCACGUUCUUGCGUUAUUAUAUAAGCCAAGCUGCGUGAGAAAGCGGAAUCCUCCACAUUAGUAUUUGGCAUCUUGCUUCUAUCAUGAUGGGGAAGGUUUUCCACAUCUGUUCCAGUCUAUCCUAGUCCCGUGAAAUUGCCCAGUUUGCAGCUAUUAAAAAGCAGUCUUCCAAGGAACCCGAGUGUCAUCAUGCUGGGAGAAAGAAACGGCAGUGGCUAAAAAAAGGAAGCUGUGGAAUCUACCUUAUAAAAUCAUUCAGGCUCCCUCAAAGCAUGUGAGCCGUCGCCUCUCAAAGAGAGAGACAAAAAUAGCAGGGGCAAAUGGAUGGAAUCCAGAUCUUAGGAGGAGCCCUCUGAUGUUAGCCUGGCGGUUAUGAAGCUGAUUAAUUGAUUUCCUUCUCUUAUCUUCUUGUCACGGCUAAUAGCUUUUAGGGAUAAGCUCUGACAUCCGAAAGCGAAGGGUGGAAGGGAGCUUGACCUGUUACAUGAGUCAUCUUUGAUAAUUCAUUUCUCAAACAUUUGGUGUGAUCUCAUAUGUAAUUGUUAAUUUCUAA